CUCCACAAACAAAUUGUCAAUUGUGGAACACGACUGUCACUACAUAACCCUGAGGAUUGUGUAACGCAUGAAAGUACUAGUUUAUUUCAAUAUUGUAAAAUUGUAAAAAUCGUAAAUAAUAAAACAUGAAAAUCA